GUAGCCUUCGUGGCUUUCCCCUUCGGCUCUCACCCGGCGGCGCUCUUCUCCCUUACGGCCGCCGUAGCCGCCGCAGCCCCCGGUGCAAUCUUCACCUUCAUCGGCACCACCCGGUCCCUCGCCUCCCUCGCCAAAGCUGCCGCCGCCCUCGGAAACGUCAGCCUCUGCGCCAUCACAGACGGCUGCCCGUCACCGCCACCCGCUAACAUCGAGAAGCAGAUCGGGUUGUUCCUCCGGGCGGCGCCCGGGAACAUUCGAGAUGGACUGUCGGCGGCCGCGGAGGCGGCAGGGGCAGCGGUGAACUGUAUAGUCAGCGACGCAUUCAUGUGGACGGUGAGGGAGGUGGCGGAGGAGAUGGGGGUGCCGUGGGUGGCGAUGUGGCCGGGGGGUACACCAAGCCUCUCUGCCCACCUCAACACUGACCUUCUUCGUCAAACCCUCGGCGUGGGCGACGAGCUCUCAACUAAAGCAGACCAGACCCUCGAUUUCAUCCCAGGCCUCUCUGCCAUGAGAGUCCGCGACCUACCGGAAGGUGUAGUCAGCGGCGAUCUCGACUCUGGAUUCCCGACUCUGCUCCACCGCAUGAGCAAGGAGUUACCGAAAGCCACCGCCGUAGUGGUGAAC
rnacentral:misc_RNA from 1 species